rnacentral:lncRNA from 1 species
GCCAAAGACUCUGCUGCAGUUCUUCUCUUGGAACUAUUAAAUAAACGGUACUCAUGAUAUCAAUAAUGGAGGCAUCAUUUGCGGAGUUCAAGUAUCUACCUUUCCUUGGAUAAUCCCGCGCAAAAAUUGUGCUGUUCUUGGAACUUUACCUUCUACCGUAUAUUUUCAACAUCAAUAUAGCUGUUUCUUUCGACGCAGUCGAGUAGAAGUGCUCAAACUUGCGAGACCAAUAACACAGUUGGCACUCUGUGUUUUUGGCCUGCCAAUAAUAGUGAGUUGGUGUCAAGUGUGUAUAACGAUUGAUUGCAGUUUAUACUCAUUUGCUUUUGGAACAGCUCCAUCAAGUUCAUUGUCCCUGAAGACUGCUAUAAAUGCUUGAGCAGUGGCUGUUUUUGAAUGGAUUGGUUGCUGAAAUGGCAAUUUAAAAACAUGUCCUCCCACCAUCCAUAAAGAAACCUGAAAGUUCAAUAAUGGAGGCAUCAUUUGCGGAGUUCAAGUAUCUACCUUUCCUUGGAUAAUCCCGCGCAAAAAUUGUGCUGUUCUUGGAACUUUACCUUCUACCGUAUAUUUUCAACAUCAAUAUAGCUGUUUCUUUUCGACGCAGUCGAGUAGAAGUGCUCAAACUUGCGAGACCAAUAACACAGUUGGCACUCUGUGUUUUUGGCCUGCCAAUAAUAGUGAGUUGGUGUCAAGUGUGUAUAACGAUUGAUUGCAGUUUAUACUCAUUUGCUUUUGGAACAGCUCCAUCAAGUUCAUUGUCCCUGAAGACUGCCAUAAAUGCUUGAGCAAUGGCUGUUUUUUGAAUGGAUUGGUUGCUGAAAUGGCAAUUUAAAAACAUGUCCUCCCACCAUCCAUAAAGAAACCUGAAAGUUCAAUAAUGGAGGCAUCAUUUGCGGAGUUCAAGUAUCUACCUUUCCUUGGAUAAUCCCGCGCAAAAAUUGUGCUGUUCUUGGAACUUUACCUUCUACCGUAUAUUUUCAACAUCAAUAUAGCUGUUUCUUUCGACGCAGUCGAGUAGAAGUGCUCAAACUUGCGAGACCAAUAACACAGUUGGCACUCUGUGUUUUUGGCCUGCCAAUAAUAGUGAGUUGGUGUCAAGUGUGUAUAACGAU